AUGUGGCUUUAAUUGGUCAGUGAGGUUAAAAAAAAAAAAAAAAAAAUCAAUUUUUUUCCCCUUUUCCUCUUCUCCAGUCGCAAACCCCAACCCUCCACUUUCUUUCUAACUCUCUCCCUCCUUCAUCUCCAAUCUCACAGUCCUCCAUAUGCCACGUUUCUUCAACCAAUCACCGGCGCUCAUAGUCAACUUCAUCCGGGCACCCUCCAUUCAUCGUCGCGUGGGUCUCUUGCCAGUAAGUUUCUCUCUCUCUAUGGGCGUUAAGCUCUAUUGUCGUCGUGGUUAGCCGACCUUAUGGUGUUGCCAUUCCUCGAGUCUGUCGCUGUCCAUUCGCCAGAAGAUUUAGUUUUGGAAUGAAAUUUCGGGGUGUUAAGAACCGCCAACCAGCAGUAUUGACAAUCGAUUUUGGAGUUCCGCUAAGAUUUUGGUAAGUAUGUGAGGUAUUUCUUGAAUGUAUUAGUUAUUAGAUUUGUUCCAUUGUUGUUUACAAUAUUUUGGCAAUUUUGGUAAAAGUUUGGGUAUUUUCUUAGAGAUUCUUGAAUACCCAAUUAAUGUUUGCUCUAAAAUCUUUUGAUUUGGAUGUUUGGAGGUUAGAUUGGAGUUUUUGGGAGGAGUUGAGGUGCAGUCCACUUGGUUUAAAAUCGACAAGAUUUCGGUAAAUUUUUGGGAUAUUUAUUAAUAAUUUUUGGAUACCCAUGAAGUUAACUUAAUUAUUGAUGUAGCUGUGGUUUAGAAGGUUGGAUAUGAAGGUUUUUAAUGUUGUUGUCAAUCAGAAUUAAAAGUUAAAUUUUGGUGGUUUAGCUUGUGGGUCAUGCUAAUUUUGAAGCUUUGAAUUGCUUAUCACUAAUUUGGUUAGUUUUAGAGGCUAUUACGAUAUCUGUUUGGCUUUAGCCAAAGUAUCUAAAUUAAUUUCAAUUUAUGUUAAGGGAGAAUUCAAGAAUUUUACCCAAUAUAAAAGGAGACUUCUUGACUUGAUUACACUAUCAAGACUUAAAUUAAGGUAAGUAGUUUACUAUUGGUUCGCCCUCGAACCAGGCACCGUAACUAAGUUGGUGUUAAGAUUGUGUAUACACGUGAAAGCAUGAUACUAGUGUGAUGGAAUGAUUUGUUAUGAUUUGCUAAUGGAUGGACUAUUGAGGGUAUUUCAAAAACCUAUGAAUUAUGCUACUAAGAUCAUGAUAAUGUAUUUAUGGUUUGAUUAUGAAAAUUUGGAUGUUGUAUGUUGCAUGUUGGACUGAUGGUGAUUGUUUGCACUCCAAUUGGGCAGUGUACAUCUUAUGUUUGUGGACCCGCGGGUUCACCAUUUAUGACUGAUUUGGUGUCCUUAAGGGAUCACCACUAUUUCCAUGAUUUGUGUUCCUUCGGGAUCACUAGACUGCGAUGAUAUGUGUUCCUUCAGGAUCAUUACCUAUGAAAGCAUGCCUUCAAGGUUCCUGCCUUAUGCUCAUGCUUAUGCCUAUGAUAUUUGAUAUACACCCGUGUCUCGAUAGGAGGGCUAACGAUCACUUAGUGCGCCCAAUAAUGGGUCACUUACUAAGUAUUUUUAUUCUCACACUUUCUUAUGAUACGUUUUUCAGGUAAGGGCAAGGACAGAUCGGUGAAUGAUAAGAAGAAUCCAUUAUCGUGCCAUUGGGACAAACAGAAGUUUUUGCACAUGUUUUUCACAUUUUUCAAGUUACACUUGUUAACAGUCGAAUGUAUGGAGUUUUAAAUUAUGUUUCUUAUUUGAAUUUACAUUCUAAGGGACUCGAAUAAAAGAUUUUCAAUUAUUUUGACUUUUACAAAA